UACGGGGGGGGCAAGCGUUGUUCGGAAUUACUGGGCGUAAAGGGCUCGUAGGCGGCCAACUAAGUCGGACGUGAAAUCCCUCGGCUUAACCGGGGAACUGCGUCCGAUACUGGAUGGCUUGAGUUCGGGAGAGGGAUGCGGAAUUCCAGGUGUAGCGGUGAAAUGCGUAGAUAUCUGGAGGAACACCGGUGGCGAAGGCGGCAUCCUGGACCGACACUGACGCUGAGGAGCGAAAGCCAGGGGAGCAAA
rnacentral:rRNA from 1 species